rnacentral:rRNA from 1 species
GAUGAACGCUGGCGGCGUGCCUAAUACAUGCAAGUCGAGCGAACAGACGAGGAGCUUGCUCCUCUGAUGUUAGCGGCGGACGGGUGAGUAACACGUGGAUAACCUACCUAUAAGACUGGGAUAACUUCGGGAAACCGGAGCUAAUACCGGAUAACAUGUUGAACCGCAUGGUUCAACAGUGAAAGACGGUCUUGCUGUCACUUAUAGAUGGAUCCGCGCCGCAUUAGCUAGUUGGUAAGGUAACGGCUUACCAAGGCAACGAUGCGUAGCCGACCUGAGAGGGUGAUCGGCCACACUGGAACUGAGACACGGUCCAGACUCCUACGGGAGGCAGCAGUAGGGAAUUUUCCGCAAUGGGCGAAAGCCUGACGGAGCAACGCCGCGUGAGUGAAGAAGGUCUUCGGAUCGUAAAACUCUGUUAUUAGGGAAGAACAAAUGUGUAAGUAACUAUGCACGUCUUGACGGUACCUAAUCAGAAAGCCACGGCUAACUACGUG